rnacentral:rRNA from 1 species
UACGAAGGGGGCUAGCGUUGCUCGGAAUUACUGGGCGUAAAGCGCACGUAGGCGGCUUUCUAAGUCGGGGGUGAAAUCCUGGAGCUCAACUCCAGAACUGCCUUCGAUACUGGAGAGCUCGAGUCCGGGAGAGGUGAGUGGAACUGCGAGUGUAGAGGUGAAAUUCGUAGAUAUUAGGAAGAACACCAGUGGCGAAGGCGGCUCACUGGCCCGGUACUGACGCUGAGGCGCGAAAGCGUGGGGAGCAAACAGG